rnacentral:lncRNA from 1 species
CAUUCUUGCAUUAACACAGAAGAUUUUGGGGGACACCUCAUAUCCAAACCAUAACAGAUGGUUUGAGGAAAAAACUCCUCUCCAUCCUUUCCUUCCACCUCAGAUGUGUUUCCAUCAUUCAUAAUGAUGCCUUUUUCAUUAAUUGAGGGCGGUAGGGGUGGGACACUGUUAAAAGGUAGUAGAUUUAAGAUCUAGGCUCCUUACCCUGACCCUUUAUCUCUUUGAAAAACUGUAAGUCCUGUCAGACCUCACUGCUGAUCUUGCUCUUCACUCUCCUAUGAAUCAUCUUAGAAAUAACAGGAAAUUACUCAUAACUUCAGAGAGGCCCCCAGUUAACCACAGCAUUGCUCUGCUCCACCACAGGAGUAGGGCCACCCAAUGGUUUAACAAAAGUUCAGCAUUUCUGUACCAAAAAGGAACACAUUGCCAUUUGUUUGGGAGAGGAUGGUAAAAUCAUAGCAAGGCUUCUUUCCCCCACACAACAAAGCAGAAAUCAAUAGCUAUUUGAGUAUUUCCCCAUCAUAAUCCAACCAUCAAUAAGUCUCUGGGUAAGAGUGUGUUGUUACAAAGCAUUUGCCCAUUAAUGAUGCUUCAUCUCCUGACACCAUUGUAAAGAUGUUCUGUAAACAGAAGACAAUGAGCAUGCCUAGCUUUUCUCUCCCACUGUUUUCCAAACCAUCCUAAUGCAGGAGCUCCCAAAUUUAUAACUCUCAGCAAGACAAAGCCUGCUUCCCAGCUGCAGAAACCCACUCUGAGUUGGGUGUGAGCAGUACACUGUGUUGGUACUUUCAC